rnacentral:ncRNA from 1 species
UAGCGACUGUUUAUUAAAAACACAGGACUCUGCUAGGUGGUAACAGGAUGUAUAGAGUCUGACACCUGCCAGGUGCUGGAAGGUCGGAAGGAGAAGUGUUAUAAGCUUUGAAUGGAAGCCCCAGUAAACGGCGGCAGUAACUCUAACUGUCCUCUUUUCUUAUUUAUUUGACUCUAUUUGAAGUAUAUUUCUUGCAUCUUUUUUGUAAUUAUUA